AGGGGUGUAGCUCAGUAGCAGAGCAUGUGCCUGAUAUGCACAGGGCCCUGGGUUUGACCCCCAACACCACCA
rnacentral:tRNA from 1 species